rnacentral:piRNA from 1 species
UGGAAAGCUGAUGUUUUGGAGGACAUAU